AUCACCAAGGGAUCUUGUUAAAAGGCAGAUUCUGAUUACACAGGUCUGAGGUGGGGCCUGAGCUCUGCAUUUCUGACAAGCUCUUAGGUGAUGCUGA
rnacentral:pre_miRNA from 1 species